GCCGUGGUAGCCAAGAUGGUCAAGGCGCUUGUCUGAAGAACAAGUUAUGUAGGUUCGAGUCCUACCCACGGCA
rnacentral:tRNA from 1 species